GAGAAAAUAACAAAGACAGAGAAAUAAACCCCAAGAAAGAAAAGUGAUGCAAAUGAAAACAAUUGGCCAGUCCGUCCUCAUGCAGUGGCCCUGACCCACUUUCUCCCUAGUUUAUUGCUGAGCAUGACACCAUAUGAUCUGGGAUGUCUCUUGGGUCAUUUGGAGUCACCUGUCCUGGCUCCCAGGACAGGUGUCCCCUCCCAGAUUUUGUGCAUCCCCAACCCCUUCACUGGUGGGGUGGUGUGAGAAGCACAAAAGGCUUUGGCUCUGUGUAAUCACUGCUCAGUCAUAACUAAAACAUCUCUGAACUAUCAACGCUGUUUCCAAAUCAGCACAAAUCCAAAACAGCCCCAUACCAGCUACUGAGAAGAAAGAUAACUCUACCCCAGUCAAAACCAGCACAAAAUUAUAUAUGACAAAAAUACAAACAAAUAUGUUUCCAGUUGCUAGAGACUGACAUUUCUAGAUCCUUUUAGCCUAAGUGGGUUUACAAACAACAGAUGGAGAGAACAUAAAGGUAGAUAAUCAUUCAAAUAGCUCUCAGGAGUGUGAUUGAAUUUAUAAGUCUGAACUUCUAAUAAUUCAUUAUGUGCCUUAAAAAAAAUAUCAUAGUAGUAGUAAACAAAAUAUAUUAGAUUUUCUGCAAAAUAUCUAGUAUUAUGUUAGCAUUAUUGGUGUUUUAAUAGACAUCAUAAACUCGCAGAGGUUAAUAAGGGAAAAGUCUGGCAUGAAGAAAUCAAAGCACUUACUUUAAGAAGGUACAUUGGCCGUCCUUCAUAUGUUUCCCCAAUUACACUACGAGAGACGAGGUUUGGGUUCUGAGCAGCAAUAUCAGCAGUCCAAGCAGCUAUCUGUGUAAUAAAGAGGUUAAAUUUAUUGAGUCUCUGUUUCUCAGGUCCAGACUAAUUAAUUUACAGACUUAAAGCCAGGACAGUCCUUCUGAGCAUCUAAUGUGGCCUAAUACUUAACAGAAUUUGUAGAUUUCCAAGGAGCCACUGCAGAGAUGUGAAAAGUGACAUGGCCAAGAUUAUAUGUCAGGAAAAAUGAGCAUGACUGUGAAAAAAGGAGGAAGCAGGGGAGAACUUAUGCUGUGAGAUGAAGGCCUAGAACUGGGGCAGGGAAUGGAAUCAAGUUGUUUGGCAGAGGAGAUAGGAGAAGUAAUGAAAAGGAAAGAGGAAAUUAGUCGUGAAGCAUCUCAGCCUGGUCAUUGGAUUUCUGCCAGAGGUCCUUUGCAACACUAGGAGCAGAAGCAGAGGAAAUAAGUGUAGGAGGAUGGGUUGCACAAACUAGCUCAGUAAUGAGCAAUAAAGGAGAAGAGGAAGGAGGGUUUGGAGGCAUUAUCAUACCAACUGAUGGAGCAGAAGAGGAAAAGGGGAGAAGGCAGGAAGCACACGAAAGCCACUUUGACUACAGAGGCCAAGGUACCAAGCUGACAGUUAAAAUUCUAGAUUGUACCGUGUUCCAGUCGUUGUACUUUUCAUAGCUGUGGCCGGUGGCACGAGAUUUGCUGUCAAACUGGGCGUCCAUCACAGCCUGCAGGUUGUCAAUCAGAACUCUGCAAUAAGGCACCAUGAAAAGUGUAAAGAGAAACAUACAACAAUCUGGCAGGAAAGUAAGACAUUUUAAGGUGUUCUUGGAAUUAAGGCCGCAUGGAUUGUGAAGUGAAAGGUGGGCAGGUUGAAAAUAAGAUAUAUCAGGUUCAAGUUUCAACCUACUUCCUGCCUCAGCCUUGCCACCAGAAUGAUCAGGGAGCAAUGGGCUUCUCCCAGUUAACACCUGCCUGCUUACUCCCAUACUAACAAACCUCCAGGGUGGCAACAAUUUGGCUUAAGAAAAAUGGCAAUGCUAAGAUAGAGUUUGUUUAUAAAAUGAGCUCUGGGCUGAUCUCAUGUUGCCAGAUGCCUCUGCCUCAAUAGGAAAAGGGCCCUCUCUUGAACUUUUGGCAUUGGAGGAGAGUUAGGCUGCAGCAAUGUUUCAAUCCCAUGCAGAAACCCAUGUUUUGCGUGAUGAAAUUCUCUGUCAAACCAAGCUUCCUAAGUUUAGCUGUGGUUUGACAGCUCUGUUGCAGGUGGCAUUGUCCAUCCUCUAAGCUACUUUACUGUGUGUGAGGUGGGCUAUUAAAUAGAACACGCAAUAGCAAGAAAACCACAGCAUCACAACAGGAUUGGUUGGAUCUCUCCUGUUCACCUUUCCCUAGGGCUGACACAAAGGCACAGCUCAUCAUUGUGCAUACUCUUGAGAACCUUUUGCUUAUAUUUCAACCUUGGCCAUCAAAAAAUGAAGUCCUCUUGUUUUCCCAGUGCCUGUUUUAACACAUUUACAAAUCUCACUCGUCCAGGAUAUGUCCUUGAUCAUUUGUGACUUGGAUAGAAGAACAGGAGGCCAGUUUGUGAGGCAUCACCAGCCUUCAGAACAAACAGUGCAAACGACUACAUUGACAUGUCAUGGCACUGCAGCUGCACUUCAAAAGAAUUAUAACAUCUUGGGUUGUCACAAGGACAAUCCACUCAAGUUUGCCAGGGACGGCUUCCAGACCUUAUGGCCUUUGUUGCAAUCAAAAGAUCUGUGCAUGGACCUGAGGAAGUUCAUUAAUAUUAUAGCAAAGCUAAUACAUGUGGAGUUACUUCUCCAUUGCUAAAGAGGAAAUUCCACUAAAAUUGGAUUCCUGUGCUGUAUGUGCACUGUGGCACUAUUGAAAAUGGUUUAUUCUGGAGUGGUUUUAGAUUCUGUUUCCCACAGUAGCAUCCAAAUUAGCCAUGAUUAACAUGAGGCCAGUAAAUUUAGGAUGGGUUACCUUUGGAUUUAGCAGAUCAUAAUAGUUAUGUUUCAUGAGAACUGUGUGGUGUCCUGUGAAGGAGUUUGGUCUAGUAGCAACAACAAUGGGGUUGAGAGACAAAAAUUCGACACUCAGCCAAAUGAAAUAAUAAAAAUUUGAUCAAGUAAUACUGACUUUCACUGUUCGAGUACGUGAUGUUGACAGAUUAUCCUUUAGACAUCAAAAAAGCCUGAUAAUGAGGCUGGGCAGAGCCAAUUUGCAAUGCUCAGGUGGAGCGAAAGGAGAAACGAAGACAGAACAACCCCACUCCACUCCAGCUGAAAGUCAAUUUCUCUUCCUCAGUUAAUGCUUACAUAGUGACUGGGAGAUGAACUAAAGAGCAGGACCAGGCAACUGCUUAUUCUCCUUAUUCUUCCAUUAGUGCUGCUCACUACAAUGUUUCUGUUCUCAGUGAUGUGUAAUGUGCCAUUUGCUCUGUUCUCUCCACUUACGCCGCAGUUGUAUUCGGUCAGCUCAGAGCUUUUUUACUUCUAAGUAAAUACACAACUAAAAACUCUCUCUUUGGAGAGAUCCUUGCUGUGGAUCUUCUGUGUGACUUGAGAAAGCCCAAAAGUGUCCCGUGAAUUUGUUCUCCCUGCUUGCUUGGCCUUUCACCUGGCAACUGUCUUCUGUUUGUCACCUGUUGGGGUUUUCUGCCCUUCUGGCUGUUGUUCUGGAACUUAGAGAACUCAGUGGGGAGCUGCUCAUGGUGAACCUUGGGGCUCACCAUUUUCUGGCUUCAGUUCCCUGUUAGUGUCAUGCAAACUCAUCUGAUGUGCUUUCUGGCUCUUUCUAGACCUCUGCCAAAUUUUGUCUUUAGUGGGAAAUCUUUCUUCUCCCCUCCACACUGUACUGCAAUGAGCUUUCACCUCAGGGAAAUUUCUGGUAGUGCAUCUUUGCUUCCUGUAUCUUGCCUCUGUCAACAUUUCACCUCACCCCCUCAACAGAGAGUAGUUACAGUCCAUUUGAACUGUCAUAGGAAAGCUGAACCCAGUAGAGGCAUCCACAGGAGGCACAAAGUUUGUGACAGGAAAAUCAGUUGACCAAUAUGAAAAGCUCAAACACAUUCUCCCCAUUAAAAGUACAGUAGUGAGAACAAACUUACUGAUACUCCACUCCACUUUCCUUCAAAAGUUCUUCAACCUCAAAAGACUUCUCAGCUCCAACUCGGAAAUCAACUUGCAUUUUUGGCCUUACCAGAGUGACAGAGUCUGGCUGCCAAAAGUCGACCUGAAAGAAGGGCAAAUGAGUACAUAAGCAAAUAAAUAUAUACAUCUGGCUGUGAUUUUUAGGUUGGUUUAUGUGUGAUGGUGAUGUUGAUUGUGAUUAAUAUACUGAAUUUCAUUCCUAUCCUGUUACACUGAUCAGACCUUGCUUGCCAGAAGUAUCAACCUAAAUUUUAACUGGAAGCGUAAAAGAAUCUGCGCUAGUUAUUCAUGAAUUAUGUGUCAUCAAGUAAGGUGAUUGUUCCAGAAUUCAGGAUUACAUCAUUCCUGACUGAUUGCUUUGUAUAACAAUGGUAUUUCAGGGAUCUUUGCUUAAAAGGAAAAGAAAACAAACAAUCCCUUUAUUCUGCACACUUAAAGGCAAGCAUGGUAUGUAUUAAUUUUCUUAAUAUUGGCAGCACCAUUCCAAUAAUUUGUUCUUCUUCAGAAUACUGUUCCAGCAUGCUAUAUUAGCCUGUUGCUGAUAGUUCUCCACAUCUGUACUUCAUUAAAAAUACCCUCCUUUCAUCCUACAGAUAAUGGUGUCUUUUUCACCAACAGCUAUUUUACAACAUCAAAGCUGAAGAGAAAUAUUGAAAACACAUUUUCUGUCUUUAUUGUUUUUCAUCAUGUCACUGUGUCAUCAUAUAUCUACAUCAAGGUCAGUGAGAAACAUGCUGCUUGGAGAGAAAGGAAGCUUUAAAGGAAAGCCAGAAGAGGAAAAACGACUUGAGAGACUAGAGGCCAAAGAAAAGUUCGAUUUGUUGGGAGUAUGAAUUUCUAUACUCUUUACAUGAGCAAAAUGUUUUGCCUGUAAUGGUAAAAGUUCUGGAAGUUGGAAUUUCCAUGAUUUAUCUCAUACAUUCUUGAAACCACCCCACACCGAAUAAGAAAUUUAAGAUUUAUUUAUUUAUUAUUUGAUAUUCAGACUGGGUCAACCAGACUUUCUAGGAAGGUAUUGAAAUGUAUUUGUAUAGCUUUAGAUUUAUCACCUUGUCCUAUUCCUUCUGAAGAAACACUCAGCUGACUUGAACUGAAUCAAGAUUAGGUCUUUAAUUCAGUAAUAUGAUUUUUUGAAAAAAGAUAAAUGUUAGUUGAGCAAAAGAAGAAAUGUUUUUUUCAACUACAAUAUAACCACUUCCCCAGGUUCUUCACCUGCAUGAUGCUGGCAAGGGAAUUGAGGAUUUCCACCUGCUCAUCAUUCCGUGGAAUCACACGAAACACCUUCUGUCUGGAAAGGGAGAAAAAGGUUGGAUUUGAAACAGAUGCUACUUAACAUGUGAGCAAGUAAUGAAUAAGGAGAGAAAAGAAUGGAAGUAAUGAGAUCUUGGGUAUGGAGCAAAAAAAAGGCAGCUCUCAUGACUUUGGGAUGAGUUUGUACCACUGCUAUUGACUCAUCAGCUUCCAACCCUGAAAUCAGAUCUGCUAGGAAGGAAUGAAGAAGGAGUAGAGAGAGAGACCACACUUUGAUCCACUGCCUCCUGAAACAUCACAGCUACCUGAAAUCCUUUCAAUUUCUGUGAAUUAUUUAAAUUAUUUUUUUUUAAAGUAUAUAUUUUGAUGUGGAAAUGUUGCUGUAGUGUCUCAUGGAAAAGGCAUCCCAAAGCCCAGUGCUGUAUUCUGCAGCCAGUAUGUCACUCCUGUGAUGUUCUGUGACUAAGCACUCCAGCCAUGGAGCAGCUCAGCUGCUCAUUUGAUGCAAAUGCCAUUAGGAGAUCUGGUCCAGGAGCCUGGCCAGAUAAAAAAAUAAUUCAAGUACGUAACAAUAUGGAAAAUACAUUUAUGCUAUUUUUUCCCCUAUAAAACCCCAUAAUACUACUACCUUGAGAAAUUUCAGAGUGAAAGAUGAUGUUUCUUCCCUGUUGUGCUUAGCUGGUUUUUACUACUAUGCAGCAGACUCCUUGUAGAAGGGUUGGGGAAUUUUUUCCUCUUGGUUUGCUGCCAAAGAUUUUCCUACCUAAGCAAAGCUGACGCUUGGUAUGUUCGGGAUGUUGCAGUGUGUUGUAUGUCAAACAUUUGACUUUGUUUUCUCACUGGAAGGCUUGCAACAGAAGUCUGGGAUUUUGCUUGUUUCUGAUUCAUACACAAUUUUUAAUUAAAUAUUUUGUUUCCUUUAUGCUACCUUUUUAUUUUCUGAAUUAAGUUAAUUGCUGGAAUUUCUCUCAUGUUUGAAGAAACUGGUAAUGGUUAUUCAAUCAGGGAAAUAAGAAUAGGUCAUGAUGUUCAAUACCUCCCCCUCACUGAAUAACAAGCUUCUGAAAAUUGAAAUAAGAGAUUUUGUCAUGAAACAAAGGUGAUUAGUUUGGCUUACUGCAGAUAAUUCUGGAUUGAAUUAAGAAUUUAUGCAGAAAGAUGAGACAGUCGAUCUUCAUCAACUUUCUCCUUCGUUAUAUUCAAAGAUGGGACCCUAACAUCCAGAGUAGUUAGAAUUGUAGUCUAUCUGUCACAUUUCAUUAAAUUCUGAUAUGAGUGGUGGGUGGGUGGAAGGUGGAUCACUUUGUUCAAGGCAGAUUCAUCACA